rnacentral:rRNA from 1 species
UGGUGGAGUGAUUUGUCUGGUCAAUUCCGAUAACGAACGAGACCUUAACCUGCUAAAUAGCCAGGCCGGCUUUGGCUGGUCGUCGGCUUCUUAGAGGGACUGUCGGCGUUUAGCCGACGGAAGUUUGAGGCAAUAACA